rnacentral:rRNA from 1 species
GACGAACGCUGGCGACGUGCUUAACACAUGCAAGUCGAACGGAAAGGCCCUGCUUUUGUGGGGUGCUCGAGUGGCGAACGGGUGAGUAACACGUGAGUAACCUGCCCUUGACUUUGGGAUAACUUCAGGAAACUGGGGCUAAUACCGGAUAGGAGCUCCUGCUGCAUGGUGGGGGUUGGAAAGUUUCGGCGGUUGGGGAUGGACUCGCGGCUUAUCAGCUUGUUGGUGGGGUAGUGGCUUACCAAGGCUUUGACGGGUAGCCGGCCUGAGAGGGUGACCGGCCACAUUGGGACUGAGAUACGGCCCAGACUCCUACGGGAGGCAGCAGUGGGGAAUAUUGCACAAUGGGCGGAAGCCUGAUGCAGCAACGCCGCGUGCGGGAUGACGGCCUUCGGGUUGUAAACCGCUUUCGCCUGUGACGAAGCGUGAGUGACGGUAAUGGGUAAAGAAGCACCGGCUAACUACGUGCCAGCAGCCGCGGUGAUACGUAGGGUGCGAGCGUUGUCCGGAUUUAUUGGGCGUAAAGGGCUCGUAGGUGGUUGAUCGCGUCGGAAGUGUAAUCUUGGGGCUUAACCCUGAGCGUGCUUUCGAUACGGGUUGACUUGAGGAAGGUAGGGGAGAAUGGAAUUCCUGGUGGAGCGGUGGAAUGCGCAGAUAUCAGGAGGAACACCAGUGGCGAAGGCGGUUCUCUGGGCCUUUCCUGACGCUGAGGAGCGAAAGCGUGGGGAGCGAACAGGCUUAGAUACCCUGGUAGUCCACGCUGUAAACGGUGGGUACUAGGGGUGGGGUCCAUUCCACGGGUUCCGUGCCGUAGCUAACGCUUUAAGUACCCCGCCUGGGGAGUACGGCCGCAAGGCUAAAACUCAAAGGAAUUGACGGGGCCCCGCACAAGCGGCGGAGCAUGCGGAUUAAUUCGAUGCAACGCGUAGAACCUUACCUGGGUUUGACAUGGAUCGGGAGUGCUCAGAGAUGGGUGUGCCUCUUUUGGGGUCGGUUCACAGGUGGUGCAUGGCUGUCGUCAGCUCGUGUCGUGAGAUGUUGGGUUAAGUCCCGCAACGAGCGCAACCCUUGUUCACUGUUGCCAGCACGUUAUGGUGGGGACUCAGUGGAGACCGCCGGGGUCAACUCGGAGGAAGGUGGGGAUGACGUCAAGUCAUCAUGCCCCUUAUGUCCAGGGCUUCACGCAUGCUACAAUGGCUGGUACAGAGAGUGGCGAGCCUGUGAGGGUGAGCGAAUCUCGGAAAGCCGGUCUCAGUUCGGAUUGGGGUCUGCAACUCGACCUCAUGAAGUCGGAGUCGCUAGUAAUCGCAGAUCAGCAACGCUGCGGUGAAUACGUUCCCGGGGCU